rnacentral:tRNA from 2 species
UAAGGACUUAAGUUAAAUAAACUGAUAACCUUCAAAGUUAAAAUUAAAAGAAGGAUCUUUUAGGCCUUAG